UCAAGAAUCUAAGCACGGUCCCUGUUCCCUUUGUCUAAUCUAAAACCUAGUCCUCAUCUUUUCCCUCUAGCCGCUACACCUCUCCACGGUUUCUUGUUCUCUUUUUCAAUUUCACCAAAACAAAUCUUUAUUACUCCAUAUCAAAAGUUCAUAAGGGGGUUCUUUGGUUUUUAUGCAAUGCAGCUGGAUAAAUAGCUAAUUGAUUCUUUUUAUUACACAAUGGAGGGGCAAAAGUGAUGUCCUCUUUUAUUAGAUCUGCAUCAACAAGCGCUUUUGAUGCCAUUAAUCUCUUUUGAAAUGUGAUUCCGAAGAUGGCAGAUUAUGGAAUUAUUCGAGCCGCAACAACAAUGACAAAUUAGAGGGCGGAUAUUGAUCAAACUAAGAUGCGGUUGGAGGCUGUGUGGGAGGAGAGAAGUGAAAAGAUGGUGCUGAGUUUGAGUCUCAAGCAAGAUGACAACAACAACAACAACAUACCCAAUGUGAUCCCACAAGUCUCAAGCAAGAUAUUACUAUUGUAAUUGUGUCAUAGACAAAUGAUGUAUUAUGAAUGUUUGAAAUUUUAGCUAUGUAACUAUGUGUAACUUGAAACCUAUUAUGGAAUACAAAAUUAACAAUGCUUGUGUGA